UUUUUUGUCAGUAAGCGGUCCUAUCCUUCCACGAGUAGGCAGGCUCGUGUUCGGUCAACCCCACAGUCAUGAAUGCUGAAUAUGACUAUUUAUUCAAGCUUUUGCUAAUAGGAGACUCUGGAGUAGGCAAAUCGUGUCUUCUUCUGAGAUUUUCUGACGAUUCAUAUCUGGAGAGUUAU